rnacentral:rRNA from 1 species
GAUGAACGCUGGCGGCGUGCCUAAUACAUGCAAGUCGAGCGAAUGGAUUGAGAGCUUGCUCUCAAGAAGUUAGCGGCGGACGGGUGAGUAACACGUGGGUAACCUGCCCAUAAGACUGGGAUAACUCCGGGAAAACGGGGCUAAUACCGGAUAACAUUUUGAACUGCAUGGAUCGAAAUUGAAAGGCGGCUUCGGCUGUCACUUAUGGAUGGACUCGCGUCGCAUUAGCUAGGUGGUGAGGUAACGGCUCACCAAGGCAACGAUGCGUAGCCGACCUGAGAGGGUGAUCGGCCACACUGGGACUGAGACACGGCCCAGACUCCUACGGGAGGCAGCAGUAGGGAAUCUUCCGCAAUGGACGAAAGUCUGACGGAGCAACGCCGCGUGAGUGAUGAAGGCUUUCGGGUCGUAAAACUCUGUUGUUAGGGAAGAACAAGUGCUAGUUGAAUAAGCUGGCACCUUGACGGUACCUAACCAGAAAGCCACGGCUAACUACGUGCCAGCAGCCGCAGUAA